AUUGAACGCUGGCGGCAGGCUUAACACAUGCAAGUCGAGCGGGGUGAUGGUGCUUGCACUAUCACUUAGCGGCGGACGGGUGAGUAAUGCUUAGGAAUCUGCCUAUUAGUGGGGGACAACAUCUCGAAAGGGAUGCUAAUACCGCAUACGUCCUACGGGAGAAAGCAGGGGAUCACUUGUGACCUUGCGCUAAUAGAUGAGCCUAAGUCGGAUUAGCUAGUUGGUGGGGUAAAGGCCUACCAAGGCGACGAUUUGUAGCGGGUCUGAGAGGAUGAUCCGCCACACUGGGACUGAGACACGGCCCAGACUCCUACGGGAGGCAGCAGUGGGGAAUAUUGGACAAUGGGGGGAACCCUGAUCCAGCCAUGCCGCGUGUGUGAAGAAAGCCUUAUGGUUGUAAAGCACUUUAAGCGAGGAGGAGGCUCUUUUGGUUAAUACCCAAGAUGAGUGGACGUUACUCGCAGAAUAAGCACCGGCUAACUCUGUGCCAGCCGCCGCGGUAA
rnacentral:rRNA from 1 species